GGUGUGUGCAGCUUCGGAAUUAAGCGACAGUUUUAAUUGGUUUUUGGGACGUCUACUUGGGAAUUGAGAAAGGUCUGCAGAUUAUGUAAACUGUGGCGUAAUCAUCGAGAAAGAUUAAAAUGUUGGGGCUAUUUCUUGUAACCCAACUCAUUUUUGCAGCACAAUCUGCAUCGUCAUGCCAGUUGCCAGAGGACCUAAGGGGCGUGUGGAUCAGCUCCGACAAGGGCUUUCUGAGAAUGGGCGAGUCAGUGAUUCACAAUUACCCCGUAACACUCCCUGGGACGAGCUCCAUAGACUUACAGUGUACAGAGAACAAUGGCACUCACUUCAUGUUUAAGUCGAGUCAAGAUAUUGACGUGUUUUCAAUCAAAGUCAGCGUGUAUACCUGCAUGAGCUUCGUUCAAGUGACACAAAAUAAUUACAUAUACUAUAUCGGGACACCUGUAGAUCCGAUGGUCGGAGAGCGAGUCUUUGCCAAUUCUAAUGAAUUAAACGUUACCAUGACUGACGUCUGCACUGCUCUAAAUACCGAGAACAAUAUGUAUAGCUUAAUUAAAAACGUUUCAAGUGAGGCCAUUGUUAAGACCAAUUGUCCGAGCAUACUGAGGAACUCAUUUGUGAGUCUAACAGUAGAAGAAAAUGGGGUUCAAAACGCUUGUGGAAAUGGCGUAAUAAACGGAUGCUUCGGGAGCACAGAGGUUGUGAUUUCAACAAACCUGUCUUGUUAUUCCAACUCGUUUAUUUCAGAUCACCUGUCCCUGACUUGCUUGUUUCACCGGAAAAUUGGUGACGUCAUAUAUCUUUACUCGUGGACAGAAGAUGUUUCUUACCAAACUACAACAACUCACGGGUUUAUUUGUAUGGAAAUAACACAAGAUGCUGAGUGGACGACAUUUCGAUUGUUUAAUGAUACAUGCAGUGACGUAUCCCCGUCUCUCAACUUCCUCACUUUGAAAUCCAACCUGACCACCGAUACGUGUCAACCGACCACACAAGGUAAAUGCUUAUACAUUAUAUUGUGUUGAGUGUCAUAUUAAUGACUAUCUCUUUUCAAAAGAUUAUUACAGAAAGAAAUCAAUUUCUCAUUCAUAUGUCAAGAUUUCCUUUUAACUUUACAUUUAACUUCUAUAAUUGGCAUUAUGAUGUCCUAUGGAAUAAAAUUUAUUAAUGUUUUAAUUAGAUUUUUUAAUUCAAUUUAAUUGGAUAAUUUCUUUUCAGCCCCUCCACCAAAUAGGAACACAAACCAUGCAAAUCGUCCCAAAAUGAAGGCAUCAACCAACUGGGCUAUCUACUUUGCCAUCGUGGUCUGCAUUAUUAUCAUCAUCGGAUUUAUAUUCAUUAUUAUCAAGUUCUUCCGAAAACAAAUGUGCGAUUUCUUUGGGAAGAAACCUCCACCCCAAGAACGAACCGUAUCUUUCACAAACAUUGAAGCAAAGUCGACUGAAACGUUAGACACCCAAACUUGAUUUCCUUUCAGAGCUUUAACAUGAUAUCGACUUCUCAAACACGAAAAGGUGGACAACUCAACUAUCUACACUCAGUUUUGUAAAUAGUCUAGUGAAAAAGUAUACAAUUUUCUUAUUUAAAGAAAGACACGAUAUGAUAAACUUACUACUGACUGUAACAAAAGUUCUUUUGAAUGUCCAUAGAAAAUAAUUUAUAUUUCAAAUGUAGAUAUAUGUAUACAUAUUUGUAAAUUAUAUCACCUUUAUAAUUACUGUUACAAGGAGAUUUGAUAAAUUAUUGUAAUUCAUUUCAAUGGCAAGAUUCUGUAUCGCAAGAUUUGAACUACGUUGCAUUUCAAUUUUACUCCAAAAUUCGGAUGCUUUAGAGUAAAAUCUCGUUGAAACCACCACAAUGACUACUGAUCGGCUUAAUGUCUUUUACACAACUUCAUAUAAAAAUAUCUUGAUUUACAUCAUUUAAAAAGCGCAUUGUAGAUUAAAAUGGCAACUUUGUAAAUGUACAAUAAAACUAGUCAUUUUAUAGUC
rnacentral:misc_RNA from 1 species